GUCAGUGGUGGCUUGGCGGUUAAGGCUCUGGGUUACUGAUCAGGAGGUCGGGGGUUCAACCCACAGCACUGCCA